ensembl:snoRNA SNORA72 Small nucleolar RNA SNORA72
CUGUGAAUAUUCUCGCUCUUCUGAUUUUGUAAUAACCAGGGCAGGCUAAACAUUCACUAUAUUAAGACCAUGCAUGUGCCCCAGACCUAGUUCUUUCCCUAGUGUGGCUUUUUAAAUGCUGGUGAUAAAC